AUGGAUAGCUCCACUAACUCUAAACUCAAGCCGUUCGUCGACAAGGAAGAAGCCCAAGAGAAACCAGGCAGAGAGCGAGGAGGAUGGAUCACUCUCCCCUUCAUAGCUGGGAGCAUGCUGGGGCUGGGGCUGGCCGUCAACGGGACGACCAGCAACCUGCUGGUGUACCUGCUCAAGGAGUACAACGUGGAGAGCAUCGACGCCGCGCAGAUCGCCAACAUCGCUCGCGGCUCCCUCAACCUCGUGCCGGUCGCCGGCGCCGUCCUCGCCGACUCCUACCUCGGCUCCUUCCCCGUCAUCCUCGCUGGUGCCGUCAUCAACCUCCUGGCUUUCGUGUUGUUCACGCUCACCGCAGCAGUGCCGUCCCUGCGGCCGCCACACUGCACAUCGCCGUCCACCGUCGGGUGCCAGCACGGAUCCCCAGGGCAACUUGUCAUGUUGUAUGCCGCCAUAUUCCUUCUCGCCAUUGGCACCGGCGGCACACGUUUCAACAUCGCAACAAUGGGUGCAGACCAGUUCGUCAGCACCCGUGAGCAAGACACCUUCUUCAACUGGUACUUUGUCUUCCUCUAUGGCUCCUUCAUCGUUGGCGACACGGCCAUCGUCUACAUCCAGGACGGCGUGUCGUGGGCUGUGGGGUUCGGCGUCUGUCUCGCCGCGUCGACGUUUAGCCUGGCGAUGGUUCUUCUGGGCGCACGGUAUUACCGGAUGCCCGCAACAAAGGGCAGCCCCUACACAGACCUGGCUCGCGUCGUCGUGGCCGCCGUGCGCAAGGCUAACAUCCAAGUCGACACGAAUGGUGGUGUGCACUACAACGUAGGAGACGGUGUCGUCGUGGACUCGACCAGCGAUGGGGCACCAAGUAAAAGCUUAAGAUUUCUAAAUCGAGCCGCCAUGAUCACAAGUGCAAGCGACAAUUUCGGGGGUGCAUCAUGUCCUAACGCCUGGCGGUUGUGCACGGUGCAGCAGGUCGAAGACCUCAAAUCCCUCCUCGGUGUCUUCCCGUUGUGGUCGUCCGGCAUAAUGGUUAGUGUGUCGAUCGGAGUGAUGAUUGGCAUGAUCAUCCUACAGGCCCUCGUCAUGGACCGCUCGCUCGGACCACACUUCAACAUCCCUGCGGGGGCUAUCUCUGUCUGCUCCCUCGUCGCAUUCAUCGUGGCAACCCCGGUCCUGGACCGCGCCGUCUUCCCACUCUGGCACAGGAUCACCAGCACCCCGGCAUCCCCGCUGCAGCGCGUGGGACUCGGCCAUGUGGUGAAUGUUGUAGGCUUGGUUGCCGCCGCACUGGUGGAGCGCCGGAGGCUUGGUAGCAUGCGUGCGCACCCCGGUGUGCCCAUGUCCGUGUUGUGGCUCAUGCUCCCGCUGAGCAUCGUCGGGGCCGAAGAGGCCCUACACUUCCCUGGUAACAUGGCCUUCUACUACCUGGAGUUCCCCAAGACGCUACGGAGCCUGGCUACAGCUAUGGCACCACUGCUCAUCGCGAUGGGAUUCUACCUAAGCACGGUGUUCAUGGACGUGGUGAGGUGGGUCACGGUGUGGCUGCCGGGGAACAUAGACCAAGGGAGGCUAGACAAUGUUUAUUGGACACUGGCGGUGGCAGCGACACUCAAUUUUGGCUACUUCCUCGUCUGUGUCUGGCGAUACAAGUACCAUAACCGAGGGACGGGUGUGGCAAUGUAG
rnacentral:rRNA from 1 species